rnacentral:rRNA from 1 species
CCUACGGGGGGCAGCAGUGGGGGAUAUUGGACAAUGGGGGGAACCCUGAUCCAGCGACGCCGCGUGAGUGAAGAAGUAUUUCGGUAUGUAAAGCUCUGUCAGCAGGGAAGAAAGAAAUGACGGUACCUGACCAAGAAGCCCCGGCUAACUACGUGCCAGCAGCCGCGGUAAUACGUAGGGGGCAAGCGUUAUCCGGAAUUACGGGGGGUAAAGGGCGCGUAGAUGGUUAAGUAAAGCUGGAGGGAAAGGCCAGGGCCCAAACCCGUGACAGCUCUGGAAACUAUUGAACUUGAGUGCAGGAGAGGAAAGCGGAAUUCCUAGUGUAGCGGUGAAAUGCGUAGAUAUUAGGAGGAACACCAGUGGCGAAGGCGGCUGACUGGACUGUAACUGACGUUGAGGCACGAAAGCGUGGGGAGCAAACAGGAUUAGAUACCCCUGUAGUC